rnacentral:rRNA from 1 species
GGUUAAGCGACUAAGCGUACACGGUGGAUGCCCUGGCAGUCAGAGGCGAUGAAGGGCGUGCUAAUCUGCGAUAAGCGCCGGUAAGGUGAUAU